GGUCUUAUAUUCAUCAUUUAUAGCAUGAUACUAGAAUGCAAUUCUAGAGGAGUAAAGAAUACUAAGGCUU
rnacentral:tRNA from 1 species